rnacentral:rRNA from 1 species
AGCAGCCGCGGUAAUUCCAGCUCCAAUAGCGUAUAUUAAAGUUGUUGCAGUUAAAAAGCUCGUAGUUGAAUUUCGGGAUCAGUACGCUGGUCGUGCCUUUGGUAUGUACUGGUGUCACUGAUUCCUCCCUUCUGAAGAACCGUUAUGCCAUUUAUUUGGUGUGGCGGGGAAUCAGGACUGUUACUUUGAAAAAAUUAGAGUGUUUAAAGCAGGCUCGCGCUUGAAUACAUUAGCAUGGAAUAAUGAAAUAGGACGUUUGAUCUUAUUUUGUUGGUUUCUAGGAUCGACGUAAUGAUUAAUAGGGAUAGUUGGGGGCAUUAGUAUUCAAUUGUCAGAGGUGAAAUUCUUGGAUUUAUUGAAGACUAACUACUGCGAAAGCAUUUGCCAAGGAUGUUUUCAUUAAUCAAGAACGAAAGUUAGGGGAUCGAAGACGAUCAGAUACCGUCGUAGUCUUAACCAUAAACUAUGCCGACUAGGGAUCGGAUGAUGUUAU